rnacentral:tRNA from 1 species
UUGACCUUUUGUUAAUGACUUCAUGUUUAAUUUUAUUGAAAAACUUAGCUUUCAAAUCAUGAUUUUUAUUUGCUAA